rnacentral:rRNA from 1 species
AUUGAACGCUGGCGGCAGGCCUAACACAUGCAAGUCGAACGAGUGGCGGACGGGUGAGUAAUGUCUGGUAAACUGCCUGAUGGAGGGGGAUAACUACUGGAACCGGUAGCUAAUACCGCAUACCAUCAGAUGUGCCCAGAUGGGAUUGGCUAGUAGGUGGGGUAACGGCUCACCAGGGCGACGAUCCCUAGCUGGUCUGAGAGGAUGACCAGCAAAAAUGGAACUGAGACACGGGCCAUAGUCCUACGGGAGGCAGCAGUGGGGAAUAUUGCAAAAUGGGCGAAAGCCUGAUGCAGCCAUGCCGCGUGUAUGAAGAAGGCCUGCGGGUUGUAAAGUACUUUCAGCGGGGAGGCGUUACCCGCAGAAGAAGCACCGGCUAACUCCGUGCCAGCAGCCGCGGUAAUUC